CACGUAGGGUGCGAGCGUUGUCCGGAAUUAUUGGGCGUAAAGAGCUCGUAGGCGGCUUGUCACGUCGGAUGUGAAAGCCCGGGGCUUAACUCCGGGUCUGCAUUCGAUACGGGCUGGCUAGAGUGUGGUAGGGGAGAUCGGAAUUCCUGGUGUAGCGGUGAAAUGCGCAGAUAUCAGGAGGAACACCGGUGGCGAAGGCGGAUCUCUGGGCCAUUACUGACGCUGAGGAGCGAAAGCGUGGGGAGCGAACAGG
rnacentral:rRNA from 1 species